rnacentral:rRNA from 1 species
CAGUAGCCGCGGUAAUACGUAGGGUGCAAGCGUUAAUCGGAAUUACUGGGCGUAAAGCGUGCGCAGGCGGUUUUGUAAGACAGAGGUGAAAUCCCCGGGCUCAACCUGGGAACUGCCUUUGUGACUGCAAGGCUAGAGUACGGCAGAGGGGGAUGGAAUUCCGCGUGUAGCAGUGAAAUGCGUAGAUAUGCGGAGGAACACCGAUGGCGAAGGCAAUCCACUGGGCCUGUACUGACGCUCAUGCACGAAAGCGUGGGGAGCAAACAGGAUUAGAUACCCCCGUAGUCCCUGUCUCUUAUAC